UACAUGGGGUGCAAACGUUGCUCGGAAUUAUUGGGCGUAAAGAGCUCGUAGGCGGUCUGUCGCGUCGGCUGUGAAAACUUGGGGCUCAACCCCAAGCCUGCAGUCGAUACGGGCAGACUAGAGUCCGGCAGGGGAGACUGGAAUUCCUGGUGUAGCGGUGAAAUGCGCAGAUAUCAGGAGGAACACCGGUGGCGAAGGCGGGUCUCUGGGCCGGAACUGACGCUGAGGAGCGAAAGCGUGGGGAGCGAACAGG
rnacentral:rRNA from 1 species